UCUGUCUAUGAUGAUCAGCUAUCUGCCUUGAUUGAGUUUAACGACCAUGAGAAAACCUUCAUGCACUACCAUCUGAGACAGG
ensembl:snoRNA SNORD33 Small nucleolar RNA Z195/SNORD33/SNORD32 family